rnacentral:rRNA from 1 species
GGAUGAACGCGGGCGGCGUGCCUAAUACAUGCAAGUCGAACGGAGCUUUGUAUUCGUACGAAGCUUAGUGGCGAACGGGUGAGUAACGCGUUGGUGACCUGCCCCGAAGAGAGGGACAACAGCUCGAAAGGGCUGCUAAUACCUCAUGUGGUCGUAAGGGUUAGAGGCCUUACGUCUAAAUGGAGUAAUCCGCUUCGGGAGGGGCCUGCGUCCCAUCAGCUUGUUGGUAGGGUAACGGCCUACCAAGGCGACGACGGGUAGGGGACCUGAGAGGGUGACCCCCCACACUGGCACUGAAACACGGGCCAGACACCUACGGGUGGCAGCAGUAGGGAAUAUUGCACAAUGGGCGAAAGCCUGAUGCAGCAACGCCGCGUGCACGAUGAAGGCCUUCGGGUCGUAAAGUGCUUUUCGGGGAGAUGAGGAAGGACAGUAUCCCCGGAAUAAGGAUCGGCUAACUACGUGCCAGCAGCCGCGGUAAAACGUAGGAUCCGAGCGUUAUCCGAAUUUACUGGGCGUAAAGCGCGUGUAGGCGGUUCGGUAAGUUGGAUGUGAAAUCUCCUGGCUCAACUGGGAGAGGUCGUUCAAUACUGUCGGACUAGAGGGUGGUAGAGGGAGGUGGAAUUCCCGGUGUAGUGGUGAAAUGCGUAGAUAUCGGGAGGAACACCAGUGGCGAAAGCGGCCUCCUAGACCGCUCCUGACGCUCAGACGCGAAAGCUAGGGGAGCAAACGGGAUUAGAAACCCCGGUAGUCCUAGCUGUAAACGAUGUGGACUUGGCGUUGGUGGGGUAAAAGCCAUCAGUGCCGAAGCUAACGCGAUAAGUCCACCGCCUGGGGACUACGGGCCGCAGGUUAAAACUC